CUUCAGGUACAUGCUAAAACAGAAAAUACAAAGAACUUGGAAAAAUGAAACGUGGAAGGAGGAGAGGCUGAUCCUUCAUAUAAUCACACUUCUUAAAGGUCACGGGGCACAAUUUUCCUCUCUGGGGGAUGGGGAAGGUAAGAGUAGUGGUGGAGCUCUCUGCCUUAAGACCGACUAUCUUCAAUCAGAAGAAAAACAAAAUUAUAUGAAAGGAGAUCAAUUCCCUGGCACAUAUCAUGGUCCACUGUGUGGAGGUUGAAAUCUAACCAAAAUAGAAAUAGUAAAAUUCCCUGGUUAGGCUUUUAUUUCCUUAAUCACUGACUAGGGGCGAUAAGCACCAGAACUCACGUGGCUACGCUAAGCAUUCCUAAAAUGAAAACAGCAUACUGCUCCUUCCAACCAGCAUAUCAGCAUGCCACUGAUGUAAACAAAAGAAAAACACGAAUUCAUCACAAAAGAUAAGGAUAGGCACUGAAAUACACAACAUUAAAGUCAAGAAAAUUCUACUUAUAGAAAACACACAUGGGAAAAAUGUUUGCAACACUUUAACCACCAAAAGAGAUGGACAUAUAAAUCCCAACAAAUUCAGAAAAAUGGAGGGGGAGGGGAGAGGACAAUUUACAAGUAUUUCUAAUGUCCAGUUAACACCUGAGAAGAGCUUAACUUCUGCACCAUUGGAGGCAUCAGUAUUAAAACUACAAAGAAGUCGAAAGAGGGCAGAUCAGCAAAUAUGAAAAUGUCUCAAAUCCUCAACAUUCGGGGGGCUGGGCAAAUGAUAUUGGUCUCACUUGCACAGAAAGUUCUCAUGCAGCGUCCACGAGGCCGGAACACACACGAACGGCCAGUAGCAAUUCUAUUGACAGCAGUUCCCACCUGUGCCCCAAAUAACUGGGCAGGGAUCUUUAGGGCUUCGCGACCCGCGGUGGCCUCACAGUGACACAGAAAUGCCCCCUCCCCAGGCUGGAUCAAGGGAGGUGCACACAGUAACCAGCUGUGAAGGCCAAGCCAUCACACCUUCCUGGUCCGCAUGGGCGCCAUGUGCAGACUCACAGUGCCCUGGUCCUCUCGGCCCCUCGGGGUCUGCAGGACUUUGCGGGGGCAGAUGACCACGAACCUAUAAAUUCGUGAACCGCUGGGAGCCUAAAUCGUCCUCGUCCACAGGGGACACAGAAUUCAAGGGAGAGGAGGAGUCGGAAAAGAGAUCCUGGGAUAACAUCACGGCACUGUCAGGAAGCAGAACCGGAAA